rnacentral:rRNA from 1 species
AACGAACGCUGGCGGCAUGCUUAACACAUGCAAGUCGCACGGUUGGGGGCAACCCUGGCAGUGGCGGACGGGUGAGUAACGCGUAGGAAUCUAUCCUUGGGUGGGGGACAACCGUGGGAAACUACGGCUAAUACCGCAUGAUCCCUGAGGGGGCAAAGGCGAGAGUCGCCUGAGGAGGAGCCUGCGUCUGAUUAGGUAGUUGGUGGGGUAAAGGCCUACCCAAGCCUACGAUCAGUAGCUGGUCUGAGAGGAUGAUCAGCCACAUUGGGACUGAGACACGGCCCAAACUCCUACGGGAGGCAGCAGUGGGGAAUAUUGGACAAUGGGCGCAAGCCUGAUCCAGCAAUGCCGCGUGGGUGAAGAAGGUCUUCGGAUUGUAAAGCCCUUUUGGCGGGGACGAUGAUGACGGUACCCGCAGAAUAAGCUCCGGCUAACUUCGUG